rnacentral:rRNA from 1 species
ACGAAAAAUAACGAUACGGGACUCAUCCGAGGCCCCGUAAUCGGAAUGAGUACACUCUAAACCCUUUAACGAGGAUCAAUUGGAGGGCAAGUCUGGUGCCAGCAGCCGCGGUAAUUCCAGCUCCAAUAGCGUAUAUUAAAGUUGUUGCGGUUAAAAAGCUCGUAGUCGAAUUUGUGUCCCGCGCCGCCGGUUCAUCGCUCGCGGUGUCAACUGGCGUGUACGUGGGACGUCCUGCCGGUGGGCUUAGCCCCUCGGGGCGGCCCAAUCUCAAUCCCACCGCGGUGCUCUUCACUGAGUGUCGAGGUGGGCCGGCACGUUUACUUUGAACAAAUUAGAGUGCUUAAAGCAGGCUAAAACAUCGCCUGAAUACUGUGUGCAUGGAAUAAUGAAAUAGGACCUCGGUUCUAUUUUGUUGGUUUUCGGAACUCCGAGGUAAUGAUUAAUAGGAACGGAUGGGGGCAUUCGUAUUGCGACGUUAGAGGUGAAAUUCUUGGAUCGUCGCAAGACGGACAGAAGCGAAAGCAUUUGCCAAAAACGCUUUCAUUGAUCAAGAACGAAAGUUAGAGGUUCGAAGGCGAUCAGAUACCGCCCUAGUUCUAACCAUAAACGAUGCCAGCUAGCGAUCCGCCGACGUUCCUCCGAUGACUCGGCGGGCAGCUUCCGGGAAACCAAAGCUUUUGGGUUCCGGGGGAAGUAUGGUUGCAAAGCUGAAACUUAAAGGAAUUGACGGAAGGGCACCACCAGGAGUGGAGCCUGCGGCUUAAUUUGACUCAACACGGGAAACCUCACCAGGCCCGGACACCGGAAGGAUUGACAGAUUGAGAGC